rnacentral:rRNA from 1 species
ACGGGUGAGUAACGCGUGGGAAUCUACCCAUCUCUACGGAAUAACGCAUGGAAACGUGUGCUAAUACCGUAUACGUCCUUCGGGAGAAAGAUUUAUCGGAGAUGGAUGAGCCCGCGUUGGAUUAUCUAGUUGGUGGGGUAAAGGCCUACCAAGGCGACGAUCCAUAGCUGGUCUGAUAGGAUGAUCACCCCCACUGGGACUGAUACACGGCCCACACUCCUACGGGAGGCAGCAGUGGGGAAUAUUGGACAAUGGGCGCAAGCCUGAUCCAGCCAUGCCGCGUGAGUGAUGAACGCCCUAGGGUUGUAAAGCUCUUUCACCGGUGAAGAUAAUGACGGUAACCGGAUAAGAAGCCCCGGCUAACUUCUUGCCAUCCCCCGCGGUAAUACGAAGGGGGCUAGCGUUGUUCGGAUUUACUGGGCGUAAAGCGCACGUACGCUGACUAUUAAUUCAGGGGUGAAAUCCCGGGGCUCAACCCCGGAACUGCCUUUGAUACUGGUAGUCUUGAGUUCGAGAGAGGUGAGUGGAAUUCCGAGUGUAGAGGUGAAAUUCGUAAA